rnacentral:rRNA from 1 species
GACGAACGCUGGCGGCGUGCUUAACACAUGCAAGUCGAACGGAAAGGCCCUGCUUUUGUGGGGUGCUCGAGUGGCGAACGGGUGAGUAACACGUGUGUAACCUGCCCCUGACUUUGGGAUAACUUCAGGAAACUGGGGCUAAUAUCGCAUAGGAGCUCCUGCUGCACGGUGGGGGAUGGAAAGUUUCGGCGGUUGGGGAUGGACUAGCGGCUUAUCCGCUUGUUGGUGGGGUAGUGGCUUACCAAGGCUUUGACGGGUAGCCGGCCUGGGAGGGUGACCAGCCACAUUGGGACUGAGAGACGGCCCAGACUCCUACGGGAGGCAGCAGUGGGGAAUAUUGCACAAUGGGCGGAAGCCUGAUACAGCAACGCCGCGUGCGGGAUGACGGCCUUCGGGUUGUGAACCGCUUUCGCCUGUGACGAAGCGUGAGUGACGGUAAUGGGUAAAGAAGCACCGGCUAACUACGUG